CAGGGAGACGCGCCCAGCCUGCGUGACUGCUAGCUGCCCGCCCUCGCUCUUCUUACCGCCUGGCACAGGGGAGUCAUGCCUUGCCCUGCAGAGCUGGCCCAGCCCUUAUUCCCAGCUCCUCCUCCAGCCUCGGUCCUGUUCAGAGCCUGCUUCCCACACUUGCCCUCCCUCUCUCCUCCCUGCAGCUCGGCAGGAUGCCAGAGGCCUUGGAUGGGCCCCAGGGGUCCCCAGCAACACUCAGCAUGGACCGUGCUGUCGGCAGCUGGCAGUUGUGUGCGUGUGCGUGUAGGUGUGUACAGCCAGACUGAUCGACUGUGCUGAGCUGAGAAGGAUUCAGAGGCUGCACUGAGGGAGAUCAGCUGGAAGCACAGCCCGAGUACAUCUGGGCUCAGAAAAUGAGAACCGUGAUCAAUUAGUGAUGUCUGCUGUGAGUGCAGCCAUGAG
ensembl:lncRNA